UGGAAAGUAAGCGAAAGUUCCGCAAGCGUAGAGCGGCCGCUGACAGCCCCAAGUCCGCGGAAACAUUACCUACAGCUACGCUCCGCACGGUCUCCUCCAACACUGAGUAUUCCAGCUGUCUGGCGGCAGAGCAGCAGGAGACCCACAGACAUAGAACCGCCACCCUCCAGCCCACCAUCCUCCUCCCUCUUGGCGUCCCCGCUCCACCAGCAGUGACCCAGAACCAUGCUCCGGACUCCCGGAGAGCACGAACUGUGGUAAAGAGCAAGAGCCGGCCGCCCGCCGAAACGGACUCGAGGUGCACAGACCGCCGACGUUCUGCCUCUUGAAUAUACUGGAAUUGCCCCGGGCUGACGGGCUGGAAGCUAAACUCUCGGGACUGGAGGCUUGGCAGCCGUCUGGGAAAGCGGAGCUGGUCGGUGCAGAGGAGCGCAGCGCCGCCUAGGGGUGCAGAGACGAGGACAACGCCCUAAGAAGGCCUCCGUCUUAACUUCCACAACCUCUGACUGAAGACUGCUCGUAAUUGAGGCUGAGCUCGUUUGGGCUUCUCUCUCCACUGUUUCACAGGGGAGCGUCCAGUUCCGGGCGCUCGGACCCACGGAACCCCUCCAGUGCCGGCGAAGAGAUCGGAACUCCCAGAGAAAUCGCGGGGCGGAGGCGGCGAGAGGUGGAAUCGCGACCCUGAAUGACCACGCCUUCGAAGCUUAAGGAAACCGGAAGCCCCAAGCUAAGGGCUGAAGCAUUACAUUCUAGAUUCCUAGCUUCUCCACUUAGGGUUAAAGUCUCUGUGCACCUUCUUAUAUAUGGGAAGCCAAGAUUUCAACAGAGGCGAUCAGUGAGGAACAAAUUGGGUAAUAGGGUCUUCCCCAAGCUUCCCUCCCACCCCCCAUCCCCGGCUCUAGCUUUUCGGGACACCCAGGUGGGCGAGCGCAAGGCUUAUGGUUCGUUCCGCUUUUUUGUGGGUCAGCAAUUUCCCUUUCCUCAGGAGCCCCUACUUGCUUUACAAGCGGACCUUGACGCUCUGGAUGAGACAGGUUAGAAACCAGUCAGUACAAGCCCCUGAAACUCAGAAAAACUGACACUCCUCCCCAAUGGGACGUGUAAAGUGGAAGUGGAAGAAAGUUACUGAGAUACUCUCCAGAGUGUAACCAGAAAACUACUGUGUAAACUUAUUCUCUGUAAAUAUUUAGAAAACAGCAUUGAGGCAGGGUAGGAACUAACUGCCCAUAUGUUGUCCAACUUCGUUUUUAAACCGGUAUUCUGAAGGGAAAUUGGGACAUUGGUCUGUCCUUGUAAAAACACCUCCGAGCUACAAGAAGUUAUCUCCAAAUUUGGCCUUGCGCCCAACAACCCGCGGCUUUCCCUGAGGGGGAGGCGAACUGAAAAAGCGUGACUUCAAUGACUAUUAAACACUAAAUUCCUUAAA